rfam:Bursaphelenchus xylophilus, Ka4C1 (inbred line), WGS project CADV01000000 data, contig: scaffold01656.38
GGCGAAGUGGCCGAGUGGUCUAAGGCGCUGGUUUUAGGCACCAGUCUCUCCGGGGGCGUGGGUUCGAAUCCCACCUUCGUCA